ACAUGAAGACAUGCCAAGGAGGGAGGAGGGUGUUUAUCCCCGGCCCCUCCCUGCUUGCUUGCUUCAGGCAGGCAGCAUCUCUCUACCCUGAGGCAACAGCACCUGUUAGGAGAUGCACCUGCUCCAUCCAGCUCUCUCCCCAGGUUCUGCUGAUGAUAAUGGCUGCCUCCCCUUGGCCCUUCAGACAGAGCACUGGUUCAAUCUUUGCCUCAAAUGCCCUUUGUUCUCUCGAGCUGGAAAAAGAACAUCUGAGGAAGAUAUUGAUGGCUGACAGCAGGAAAAUCAGAAGUAUCUUUGCAAAUUAGAAAAUAAAGUGAAAGACCUCAUAGAUAACACUUUCUACAGAAACUCAGCUUUGUUUCCCUAUUCUCGUCCCAUCAUUGUUACAUUCCUGGCCCAGCUCACCCUCGGCACCGGGUGGCACAGCCCAGGAGUGAAACUGUUCCUCACCUCGACAAGCCGGGGGGACAUACAAUCCACAGAGCCCCCAGUUUAUUUGGCCUCCCCGUAGGUUUCUGCUGCAGCCUGAGUGAGGUUUACAUUUAUAAGGAGACCCUCAUUCUCAAUCUUAUAAGGUCCUCUUGGAAUAUUCCAGACAGGAAUGGAGCUGACAAGAUGCUUGGAAGGGUGCAGGGCUGCACGAAGCCACCUGUCCAUUUCCCCACCCUGAGACAGGGUCGCAGUGGAUGAGCACCCGCUUUAGGGACAUUGGAGGUGGGAAGCCCAUUGUCACUCCUGUGUUGACAUCACACGCUAGAAGGGAGUCUGUUUCCUCUCCCUGAAUCCCUGACACUGCAAGGAAGUUAUUUCCUCGAACUCUUGGGAAGUAGGGGAACUCCUGGCCACCAGCCUUUGUUUAACAGCCCUUCCUGUUGUCAAAGAGUGAUGCCCCCACCGCCCCCUGGCUCUGCUGCAAAGCAGGUGAUUUAACUUUGAGUCAUCUGGGUGACUUCUCAGAAGCCACAGAGGCUCACCAUGGCCUGUCACAAUGGGAAGACAGCUGAGUGUGAGACACAUGGAGACCCAGCCUUGACCACCACUGGGGAGGACAAGCUCAGGAGAAGGAAGAGGAGUGACUGGGAGGGAGGAAAACACAAUAGGACAGUGGCUCCACAACUUGAGCGCCACAAAAUCCCCUGGGGCCUGUGAGAACACAGAUGUUGGGGCACCUCCCCAGCAUUUCUGAUUCAGGAGGGCUGGGCAGGGCCUGAGAAUCUGCAUUUCCAAUGAGUCCAGGGUGGCGCUGAGCCUACUGAUGUGGGAUUGGAUAAGGAUGCCCCGUGCUGGACAUUUCUGGAAGGGACCCACCCACCCUCUACUGCCUCAGGACCAGCCUUGGUGCCCACCCUCCUCCAUCCCCACCUUUGUGCCCACAGCAGGGCUGAGUCCUCCCCACACCCACCAACCACCCCAUCUCUGCUGCUGCUGUGCUCUGCUCCUCGGACAGUCCUGGGUAUUUCCGUGUCCUGCUCUGCUCUGCAUCUCUGAACGCUGCCCCAGGCCUACACCCUUUGCAGGGGCCCUGACCUCCGUGAUUUGCCAGUUACCUGCUCCUUAUAAAGCCCCCACCUGCAACCUGACUGACAGACUCAGGGAUCCUCGUACCUGCCUGUGAUGUCUUUUCCUACCUAGCCUGACCUCCCAUCUGCAAAACCCUCCCAUCCUUGGAUGCCCAGCUUCACAUCCUCCAAGGACCCUCCUCUCCAAGACUUUCCAACUCCCAAGCGCCCACAGAGCAGUCACUGUUUCUCAACUAUGACUUCUUAUGAGUAACACUGAAAACACAGAUUCCUGUCUGUACCAAAAACCUUUAAAAAUUAAGAAUUAGCUGGGUGUGGUGGCGUGUGCUUAUAGUCCUGGCUACUCCGGAUGCUGCAGCAGGGGGAUCGCUUGAGCCCAGGAGUUCAGGGUUGCAGAGAUGUUGCCACUGCAGAUUGAAACCCUGUCACUAAAAAAAAAAAAAAAAAUACAUAAAAUAAAAUAAAAAUAGGUAGAUAGAUGAUUGAUAGAUAUGAAGGUAUGAUAUAGAGAUAUAUGCCAUACUUCAUUGUUAUUGAGUGCGUGCUUUUGCAAACUCAUCCCCUAUGCACACUGCCCCACCUCUCCAACCCAGAUCUGGAAUACAUCCCCAGGCAGGAGCUCCAAUAAGUCACUCAUCUAUGUUGUAUUAUAGUAAUUGUUUAUACAUAUACAAACAUAAAUUUACACUUAUUGUUACUAUUUGUGUGUACAUAUGUUUAUGGUAGGCAGAAUAAUAUCCUCCCCGCCUCCAGCAAAAUAUGACAAAAUAGGGCCAUCUCCUAAUCCCUGGAACCCAUGAAUAUGUUACUUUCCAUGGCAAAAGGGACUUUGCAGAUGUGAUCAAGGUUGAGAUGGGAAAAUUCUUCUGGACUAUCCAGGUGAGCCCAAUCUAAUCACACGAGCCUUUAAAGUGGGGAUCCUUUCCCCGAUGUGGGCACGGAGAGGUGUGAGCAUGGAAGGGUCAGAGACAGACGAAGGGGCCACCAGCCCAGGGGCAGGAAGAAGCCGGGAAGCACAGGAGAACAGAAUCUCCAGAAAGGAGAGCAGCGCCGCCACCUUCACGUUAGACCCAGGAGACCUGGGUCAGAUGGCUAGCCACCAGGAGUGUAAGAUGCUAAGUUUGCAUUGUUUUAAGCCACUGUGUUUGUGAUAAGUUGUUAGAGCAGCAGCAGAACUAAUACAGCGUGUGCGUGUGUGUGUGUCUGCAUACACAUGUGUGUGCACUUGUAUCCCUGCUAUGCCAGAGUUCUUAAAGACAAGAUGCAUGCUCAAAUCACCUUUGUAUCCCUUAUGGAACCCAGAAGGAACGUCACAGUGUGAACAUAUUAGUGUAAUUCCACCCAUAUAUUAGUAAUUCUUAAAUGACACAGAAUGUACAUUGACCGGGGCUGACAUUCAUUUCUAAGCCAAGAAAAAUGGUAAUGAGGUGCAAAGAGGAAACCUGUUGCCCUUGGGAUUAUCAAAAUCUCUCACCUCAGAAGAGGCUUUCUGGGAGACGUCAUGGCCCAAAUCAGGCCACAAGGAACUGCGUCUCCGGCCUGUAAUUAUUUCCUUUGACAAUGAUGCGCUAGACUCAUGCUGCUGCCAGUAGAACCCUAGAGCCACUGCACCUCCUUCCAGGGCCUCCACCUCCCACUGAUCCGGCCCAGAGGCAGAGCAGCAGCUACAAGGGCCAAGUCACAGCAUGGGGCAUCAGAAGACCCCAGGCCGGGCCCUACCCUCUAGCCCCUCACCCCUCUCCUUGCUGAAUGUGGAAGCCAGCUAAGUCCAGGCAGGUGGUUGGAGGGAUAGAGAAGGCCCAGGGAGGUUCUGGGUGCCAGAUGCAGGAGAGGAGACCAAAGGUGGGGAGAAGAGGGUGUUCCCAGGAAGGAGACGCCCUGCUGGGAAACCCUGACCCCAGCCAGUGGCCAGGAUGCCAGCUCUCUGCUGAGCCUAACAAGCCUGGUCGCACAUACAGCAUCGAAGCCCCAGUCCCAACCAGCUGGGCCAGGUGUGUGAUGACAUCACGGCUCUAAUGACCCCGCCAGGUGACCAAAAUCAACCUCGGGUCUGGGAUAAAGAGUCACUGACAUGAUAAAUACUGAAAGCCAAGCCGAUAAGAUGAAAUGGGUGGGUGGUUUCCCUUAAAGAGUUACUGAAGGGUUGUCCAAGCCUUUGACAACCUUCAUCAGAUGAACAAUUAUUGGUUGCAUGGUUGGUGCGAGCCAGGUGUGGAUGCAAAGGUAAGCAACACGUUCCCUAUCUAGGAGGAGGCAGAAUAAUUAAGAUUUCUUGGGAAUAAAAUCUGACCCAGCUCCUAGCACCUGCUCAACAAUCUUAGCUCUUUUAUUUACAUUUAUUCAGUCUCAGAUUUGCUCCCCGCUUCCUGUCCCCAUCCCUCAGCUUUUUCUUUUAGAGCAAGCAUCUAGUCCUUCUCUUGAUACCAAUGCAAAUAGCCGAGACCCUUCCAUUCAUGUAAGACCCCAUCUUCUUCCACUGCUAAAGAACUCUUGACUUAGUACAACAUAAAAGACUUAAAUUGUUUUCGGUUUAUCUACAUGAAGCCUGGCACUCUAAAAUUUCCAAAGGAUAUGGAGUUGCUUUGUGACCUUUUGCAACUUCCUUUCUUUGCAAAACAAAAAAAGGUGUCCAUCCUUCAAGCAGCCAGUUAGGUGGUUGAUAAAUAUCCGAGUUCUAAGAAAGAGGAUUACCAAGGGAAGAGAUAACUUCUGCACCUCCUCACAAGAGUACAGUGUGCAUGGGAUCCUAAUUUCUGAACCUGGGUCUUCCAUUUCUAAGUCAUUCUAAUGGCAGAUAUUAUGAAAAUAUUCUCACUCCCCCACAUUGCUCAGAAUCUUCUUGUCAUCAGAUAAUGUCUCAUAGAGGAAGGAGUCAUUUUCUGGGAGCUCUAACCACAAAAAACAUCUGGAGCCUUCUUAGAAUCCAGGGUUAAAGGUCAGGGUGACUGGAACAUUUGGGAUGGUCACAUCGUUCCUCUCCUAGCUUUACGUCAGGGAAACGUGGUACCACAGUGUGAUUCGGUACCACAGUGUGAUUCAGGGCUGCGUGUGACAUCAACCUGCAUGCUCUGGGGGCACGAGUGUGCCCUCAUUAAAAACAAGCCCUCAAGAGAUGAGAACCAAUCUUUGGAGACACCAGCAUUAAAUGCCAGGAGCUUGGCCGUUGGCUGUAGGAAUUUCCCAAACAGCAACAUCUGUUACUAAGGAAACGACAAUAUCACUGCAAUCCUCUAGCAGCUACUGUUUUACAGCACGGACCAGAGAGACAAUAGUCUUGCACCUGCUCACUCACUCUGUCCUCCCAGCAGCCUUGCCAGGGAUAUGUGUAUGACAUCCUCAGCACACCCUCGGAUGUGAUAUUGUGUGAAUCAGCCCAUUCCUCAGAUGAGGAGACUGAGGCAGCUGGGAAGUGUACCCUGUUUGGGUCACAUAGUGAGGGGCAGAGCUGUGACGACGAAGGUCUCCCACUCCAGCCCCCUCCGUAGAGCCCUGUCCACGGCAUUCAGGCCAACUCUCACACCCGCUGAGUGGCUGUUUCUCAGAGUGUUUAC
rnacentral:lncRNA from 10 species